GGGGGAAGGCAAAACCCUUGGGUCAAGUUCAUGGGCCUCACAUGCACAAAUUAAUUUGGCAAAUUUAAUAAUCAUUGUUGUAUCUUACUUGAUUUCAGCGUAUGUAUGUGGUGAGGGAGGAGAAGAAGGAAAUUAAAGAGGUUAUGAAGGACUUGGGGAUUAGCAGGUUUGUCAAAAUCAUUCUAAAUUGUUGUAAUUAUUCCAUUAGUUCCUUAAAGACACGAACACUUCUUUAGAAACCGCAUUUGGCCCACGAUGGAGGAAGAGGAAACAUCAGAGUGAGGUGGUUGUUCGAUGUCGAUGUGAUUGGAACGGGAAGUGGAGACGGAGUCGGAGGUGGAGACAGAG
rnacentral:lncRNA from 1 species